rnacentral:rRNA from 1 species
AUUGAACGCUGGCGGCAUGCCUUACACAUGCAAGUCGAACGGUAACAGGUUAAGCUGACGAGUGGCGAACGGGUGAGUAAUAUAUCGGAACGUGCCCAGUCGUGGGGGAUAACGCAGCGAAAGCUGUGCUAAUACCGCAUACGAUCUAUGGAUGAAAGCGGGGGAUCGCAAGACCUCGCGCGAUUGGAGCGGCCGAUAUCAGAUUAGCUAGUUGGUGGGUAAAGGGCUCACCAAGGCGACGAUCAGUAGCUGGUCUGAGAGGACGACCAGCCACACUGGAACUGAGACACGGUCCAGACUCCUACGGGAGGCAGCAGUGGGGAAUUUUGGACAAUGGGCGCAAGCCUGAUCCAGCAAUGCCGCGUGAGUGAGAAGGCCUUCGGUG